GACGAACGCCGGCGGCGUGCUUAACACAUGCAAGUCGAACGGAAAGGCCCUGCUUGCAGGGUGCUCGAGUGGCGAACGGGUGAGUAACACGUGGGUGAUCUGCCCCUUACUUUGGGAUAAGCCUGGGAAACUGGGUCUAAUACUGGAUAGGACCAUGCUGUAGGUGGUGUGGUGGAAAGAUUAGUUUCGGUAAGGGAUGAGCUCGCGGCCUAUCAGCUUGUUGGUGGGGUAAUGGCCUACCAAGGCGUCGACGGGUAGCCGGCCUGAGAGGGUGGACGGCCACAUUGGGACUGAGAUACGGCCCAGACUCCUACGGGAGGCAGCAGUGGGGAAUAUUGCACAAUGGGCGCAAGUCUGAUGCAGCGACGCCGCGUGGGGGAUGACGGCCUUCGGGUUGUAAACUCCUUUCAGCCAUGACGAAGCCCUUGUGGUGACGGUAGUGGUAGAAGAAGCACCGGCUGGCUACGUG
rnacentral:rRNA from 1 species